rnacentral:rRNA from 1 species
CUCUUUCUCGAUUCAGUGGAUGGUGGUGCAUGGCCGUUCUUAGUUGGUGGAGYGAUCUGUCUGGUUAAUUCCGAUAACGAACGAGACUCUCCCCUGCUAACUAGUCGGUUGGAUCUUGAUCAGCGGGUUGCGUGCCGAGUAACUCUCGCUGCGCGGGUGGUGCGUCUCGGGCUUCGGUUCGUUGCGUGCUCUCGUGUGGUGUUGGAUGCCUUGGAUCACACUGCACCCCAAGUCCGCCGCUUAUGCUAUAACUCUUCUUAGAGGGAUUCACGGCACUGAAGCCGUAAGAGACUGAGAGCAAUAACAGGUCUGUGAUGCCCUUAGAUGCUCUGGGCCGCACGCGCGCUACAAUGCCGGGCACAGCAGGUGUUUCUCCUGCUCCGACAGGAGCGGGUAACCCUCUGAAAGCCAGUGUUCUUGCAAGUGAUUCCUCCCUCGUGGAGUUUCACAGAGGCGUGCUUGGGCCUGGGACUUGCAAUUCUUUCCCACCAACGAGGAAUGCCUAGUAGCGGCGGGUCACUGAGCCCGCUGUGACUCAGUCCCUGCCCUUUGUACACACCGCCCGUCGCUACUACCGAUUGGGUGUACCAGUGAGAGCCUUGGACUGGCGUCCGUUGUUGCUCGCAAGAGUGACAAGCGGGUCCGACGGAAAGAGGUCCGAACUGGUGCACUUAGAGGAAGUAAAAGUCGUAACAAGGUUUCCGUAGGUGAACCUGCGGAAGGAUCAUUA